rnacentral:rRNA from 1 species
ACGGAGGGAUGGAUGAGGUUACCUGGAAAAAAAUCGGGGCGAUCUAGGCGGGCGAACCUCGCCAACGAACGAUCGGACAUGGGAUAACGGAAGAGGGCGUCGGCUCGACUUCGUCGGUUCCUCGGGCCGAGGCACGUACGGUGAAUAGGGACGGUCGGGGCCGCCCGUACCGGGUCGUGAGAGGUGAAAUUCUAGGAUCGACCCGAGACGAACUGCCGCGAAAGCAUUCGGCAAGGACGCUUUCAUUAAUCAAGAACGAAAGUCGGGGGAUCGAAGACGAUCAGAUACCGUCGUAGUCCCGACCGUAAACGAUGCCGACCGAGGGCCCGGAGGAGUUACGUACGACCCUCCGGGCCCUCCCGCGAGAAAUCAGGAGUAUUCGGGUUUCCGGGGGGAGUAUGGUCGCAAGGCCGAAACUUAAAGGAAUUGACGGAAGGGC